rnacentral:rRNA from 1 species
CAUGGAAUAAUAGAGUAGGACUUUGGUUCUAUUUUGUUGGUUAUUGAACCUUAGUAAUGGUUAAUAGGAACGG